rnacentral:rRNA from 1 species
UACGUAGGGGGCUAGCGUUGUCCGGAAUCAUUGGGCGUAAAGCGCGUGUAGGCGGCCCGGUAAGUCCGCUGUGAAAGUCGGGGGCUCAACCCUCGAAUGCCGGUGGAUACUGUCGGGCUAGAGUGCGGGAGAGGCGAGUGGAAUUCCUGGUGUAGCGGUGAAAUGCGCAGAUAUCAGGAGGAACACCAAUUGCGAAGGCAGCUCGCUGGAACGUAACUGACGCUGAGACGCGAAAGCGUGGGGAGCGAACAGG